rnacentral:lncRNA from 1 species
AUUAAAAAAAAAAAGAAAAAACAACCCCAAACCCCCAAAACUUCCAUUUUGUAACAUCACAAAUGUCUUCUAGGUUUUACCAAAGACCAAAAAGCUAAAAUUCUCUAUAUGAUUUCCAGUGAUGGAAACGAGGCAGAGACAGUAAGCACCCAAAGUGGCGAGUUAGCACUUUCCGGAUGCCUGUCGUCCUCACGGAAGAGCCCCUGGAACUAGAAUGACAGAAAAGACACUGUGACUUUGACAAGGCUACGCAGCUGCACGUCACGCUUGCUUGCAUGCAUGCUCCCUGCAGAGUGGCCUCUGCCAGAGAGAGCAAGGGCAGGCGUGGAGGGCCAGCAUGCUGGUCCUCGGCUGACAGAUGGCACAGGACGCGCCGCCAUGCCCCUCCCUAGCCCCCACAAUGCCUUGACUGCCUCAAUGCCAGCUCCACAGAAAUGUCACCUGAGUGUUUACGGGACUUUCCAGGCUCAAGAAGUAGGUGUUCCCUUUGACGUUUGCCAAAGGCUCAUUGUCAGCCAAAGCAGGACACCCCCAGGAGGAGUGGCAGGAGGCUGUGGAUUGAAUAGGGCUCGAAUCCUGGGAAUUCCUAAAGUAUUUUAUUUAUAAAUAAAAGCAGAAAGCUAAGAAAGAGCAUACUAGGACAAAGUGAAUAUGAUGGUCAAAGCUAUGCUUGAGGAGCGAGAACUCUGGGCGUGUGCUGGCCGUGCAUGCUCUGUGACAGGCCACGGGGAGCCAGGCCCACGUCUCAGAGUUCGAUCACUCUGCCUGACUCACAGCCAACAUGGAAGGUUGCUGGAAGGAUUAAAAAAGAAAGAAGGUGAUUCCCCCAGGUGGUUCCCCCAAACCAGACCACCAGGCUAUUCCAACUCUGCUGAAGAACCUCCAACAUGUCCACCCAUAAAGGUCUGCCAAAACAGAAGUGACCAGAAGCAAGCAGCGCUCAGGGGACUACCCAUGACAUGAAGAGAGGCAGCACCAGGUGGGAACGCGACGCUGUGCCACUGAGUGCGGGCCAGACAGAGAGAGACCCAGAGGCGGCUGGGACUACAGCCCAGGAGAGCUGAGGAUCUGAGAAAAUGAGGAUUUCGUAACUGCCGAUAAAAGUGGCUGAUAGGGUAAUUCACUGCUCUGUCCCUCAAGUUCACAGUAUCAGCAGGAUUUUUCAGAUUUUGACAGAUUUAAAACUUCAACACUGCUGCUUUCUGAUGAAGGGUUGAGAGAUCCCCACAGCCUGAGAAUUCCACAUGUAGCUGCAAGAGGCAGAGUGUGAGAAGCUGGAAGGGGCGGCAAUCAUACGUCUUGAAAUAGCAAACAGCUGCAGAUCCCACCCCAAGAGGAUCCUUUCUGUUCUGCACAAAGGCCCUAAUAAAACAAUUCUUUACAGUGCCACACACGCAAAAAACGAAAUCUUGAAGAGUUUACACCUCCUACCCCUUUGCAGGAAAUACUCCAUAUGUGGUUUUUUAAAAAAACUAGUUUGCUUUGUGGGUUUUAAAGAGAAUGUAAAUUUGGGGAAAGUUUCAUUAGUGUAAUGACUACUCCCCAUGACUUUAGCUGCUGAAUACACUGGUGAAAUUUCAUUGAGNNNNNNNNNNNNNNNNNNNNNNNNNNNNNNNNNNNNNNNNCAUGUUCACUGAACCCACGUGUGUGAAGAGCUUCAGCACCCAGACCGGCAGGCUGUGGGACUAGGGCGCAGGCUUCACUGCUCCUGAUCCAUACUCCCUAUUUGAAUUAGAGAAGACACAAUCCAUGACUGUCUCGGGAUCAAGUCUGCUCUUAGAGCGCAGCGUGUCCUGGGACAGGAAACCUGACAGUGGCCGGCUCCCGAACGCUCGCAGGGCGCUGGUGCCUGCAAGGACAACCCCACCUUCUGAGUGGGGCCAGCAGAGACCUGCGGAAAACCUGCUGCCAGAAGCAUUUGGAAGAAGGGGAAAGGCAAAAGCAGGCUGGAAACGAGGCCUUUUUUUGUGUGUUUUAAGAAAAAGAAAAGCCAGGGGGUGGAACCUCCACACCAGAAACUGCAGAGAUG